rnacentral:rRNA from 1 species
GACGAACGCUGGCGGCGUGCCUAAUACAUGCAAGUCGAACGCUGAAGGAGGAGCUUGCUUCUCCGGAUGAGUUGCGAACGGGUGAGUAACGCGUAGGUAACCUGCCUGGUAGCGGGGGAUAACUAUUGGAAACGAUAGCUAAUACCGCAUAAGAGUAGAUGUCGCAUGACAUUUGCUUAAAAGGUGCAACUGCACCACUACCAGAUGGACCUGCGUUGUAUUAGCUAGUUGGUGAGGUAACGGCUCACCAAGGCAACGAUACAUAGCCGACCUGAGAGGGGGAGAGGCGAAGCUGGGAUGGGGGCACGGCCCAGAACCCUGCGGGAGGCAGCAGGAGGGAAUCUUCGGCAAUGGCCGGAAGGCUGAACGAGCAACGCCGCGGGAGUGAAGAAGGUUUUCGGGUCGUAAGGCUGAGGUGUGAGUGAGGAUCGAGAGUGAGAGUGGAAAGGUCAGACUGUGACGGUAUCUGACCAGAAAGGGACGGCUAACUACGUG